GACCACUGCCACGCCGGCUGGCUAGGUCGCUCUCCUCUGAUCCAGAAACAUGAGUUGGAAUCACAAUAAAUUCUGGUUCCAAGUGUGACAUCAUAAAAAUUUAUCAACUUCUACAUGAUUUGAAAGACAAGAAACAGACCAAAGAGAAGGCUGAGAAUUGAACCUGCGACAUUGCACAUGAAGAGGGAUAGAAUUACUCUUUAAUGAAGAUAUUGUUGAGACAAGCUAUGGAGGAUUGGUACCCGGGUACUGCACAGACACUGGGAUAAUUCUGGAACUAGAGAAAGAGCAGCAACUUCAUCAGUAGAUAUGUGUAUACAGACAGAACAGAACAUUUAAAACAACAAGAUAAAGAACUGAAUAAAUCAACGGCUCUGAUAAGAUGAUUCACUCCAAAUUGAUUUUUCAGCAACAAGCCCUGAUGUGGACAAAUACUCUCAAACUCUAGCCUUUCUUGAAUUCAUGUGGGUCUCAGGGUCCCUUUGAGACUGGGUGGGUUAAGCAAUUGGUGCUAUGAAUUCCAUUCAGAGGUUAACAUUAAAGGGGCUGAUUUCAGAACAUUCCAAUGGAAGUGUUCAUCUAGAGACACAUACUUUAAACAUACUCAUGUUAAAGAUACAUGACCCCCAAUAUAUAGUAAAUAAUUUAUAUAUUUAAAAUACAUUUUGAGAAUCUUUAAGCUUGAGUUUGCUUACACGGUUUGUAGACAUAUUAGUAUAUAAGAUACAUUAAGUAUCCAUAUAAGAAACUGAUCUCAGUAGAUAGUUGCCAAUCUACUAUUUUCAAAAUCUU
rnacentral:lncRNA from 1 species